AACUAUUUUUAAUAUUCACUGACCAUUAUGUUUGAUUUACACAUGAUGACUAGUGCCUAAAGCAUGGACUCUUAUUCUGUCUUUACCAGUUAUCUAACUGAUCAGGACCCGUUCAGAGACGUUUGAUAUAAUCAGUAACAAAACUUGAUCGUAAACCGAUUUACAUUAGAAAGAAGAAUUCAUAAAAUAUCCCCAAACAGUUCUACGGAAAGCAAAGGACAACUCUAUUCACGAAAAGGUUAUGACGCAUCCAAACAGGUGCACAUUCAAGUCUUCUGCAGAAGUUUCAAAACCCAAAACCCAGUGUCCCUCCCUCCAAUCUCCUACUUCUUCAAACUAAAAUCUUCAAUGGAGGAACCUAGCUCAGCCUCAGAAAAUCAAGUUGUGGUAGAUGAUGAAGGUGGUAAGGUUAAAGGAGGAGAAAUUCCAAGGUUUGAAAUUAAAGUGACCCAUGAAGCGAAACUUAAAGAACUGUUGCAUAAGAUUAAUUCUCUUGAAAUUCAGUUAUGCUCUGAUGGUGUAAAGGAGUUCAUUAAGUUGCUAAAAGCAUGGUACUCUAAGGCUUCUUUCGGAGGCACUGAAGUUGCUGGACUUGACUCCUUCAUUGGUGCUUUGAACCGUGGUUCUUAUUCUAGCAAUCAAAUGAUGCAGGGUUGGGCAGCUCUCAAGCAAGGAAUUCAGAAUGAAGUCAGAACUUUGAAUUUUGUAAUCGAGAAAAGCUUUCUGGUUUUCUAAUGUGGGAAAUUUCACUGCCUUGAGAUCAGACUCUGCACAAAUGCUUCAGCUUCAAGAAUCUUAUUCCCAUUUAGCCAUUUUUUUGGAGGAAGAGAUUCAUGAGGAUUCUUUGAUACUAGACUUUUGUGAUGGCUAAACUGCUGCUAUUAUUCUUGGGAAGGUUUCUUGGAAAUCUAAUGGUUUUGUCCCCAAGAUUUCAAACCGAAUUAAAUUAGGAACUCUGCAAUCAUUAUUGGAUCUUAUUGAAAGUGAAUGUGAUGAAAGCAUCAAAAAUCGAUUCGGCUGUGAGUAUUAUUUACUGUCGACAACUUCAUGGCAUUCUUGUUGAGUGCUCCCAUAGUUAUAUCUGCACUGUGUCUUCUUUCCUCUGCCUCCAGUUUUUUAGAUCAGUUAUCUUCCAAGGUCAUAAGACCCUGGUGGCAUCACUGUGUUCGAAGAUACAUUGCCCUACUGAAGCUAAUCUUGCCUAGAGAUGGUCCUUUUAUAGGCCAUGGAAGGACCUUUCAUUGGAACUCACUGAUUCACAGAAGAUGGAUGAACUCCAUGCUUGUCAAACUCUCUCAAGUCAUUUUUGCUAAUGGAAUUUCAAGAAAAUCAUUAAGUUUGCAGGUAUUGUCACCUUAAAAUGUGGACAGAUCUGGUGUGCAUGAAUGGGAAAAAAGCAUUAUAAGAGCUUGAAGGGUGUUCACUCCCAAGAUUUUUUAGUACAAUUAGAGAUUCUGGAAUAACUUUACGCUCUGAAAGGUAGUGAGCAGAGUUUAGUUGAACUCCAUGAUUUUUAAGAAUGGUGAAUAUAUUAAAACAUUAAAAUACAUGACUAGUACAAUGAUGGUUGUAAAUUGUAAGUUAAUGAAGGUGAGUUUGAAACAUCAUGUUACAGGCUUACAGCCAUCAUAUGAGAAUUACAGAAAUCUUAAUGCAGCCAGUAUUCAAGGAUGUCAUGGCAACAAAGUUGUACUCGAAUGCCAAUGUUAUUUUAGACUUGGAUUUGUUGUAA